GGGAUGCCGGCGGAGGAGAUGCCACCCAGGGCGGGAAAAGGGGCGCGCGGGAGGGGCGGGGGCCGGCCGCCGCGCGGAGGGCCCUGCCCUCCCGCCUUUGACUCAAUUAAUUGGGCUCGAAGCUUCCGCCGGGGAGGGGACCGGGGGAGGGAACACUGUAGGGGGUGGGCGCCUGCGGAGAUCAGGGGCCGAGACCGCGGACCUGGGCUUGGUGCAGGGGAGGCGGAGGUAGCACCCCACUCGGGCCCCGCAUCGCCCCGCCGCCGCCCCAUUUGCUGGGGGCCAAGAAGGGGCAGUGAACUUGGCUGCCCUCUCGGAACCACCUUCCCCCAACACACACUUCGGCCAGCAGAUCCCGCGCCCAGGCUCGGGGUGGGGGCGCGCCUUGGCGGGUUUGCGCCUGGGUGGUUCCCGGGUGCCCGGCCCCGGCUUGUUUACGAGCAUCACAUUAGUCCGUCACCGGUGAGCUCUGGAUCGGCAGCAGCUUCGGUGCCCCUUCCUGGAAGGAGAGUCGGGGUGCGGGAGGGGGCGCGGAUGCGGCGCCCUCUACCCCAGGCCGCGCUGGCGGCGGCCGCUGGCGGGAUCCCACCCGCUCAGGGGCGCCCUUCCCCCGCACCCGGUCGUGGGCUCUUUCCGGGGCGUCAUCAGCGCCAUUCACUUGUCAGGUUCUCGGGAAGUUGAAAUCGGCUGUUGGGGAUGUAAUAGGAGAAAGAGAAGGAGGACGAGCGGGCGUGGAGAACUGCAGUUUCCAUAGUGCCGGGAAGAGGGCGGGCUCCAGCGAGCACACAGCCCCGGGAGCCGGGUCCCCGCCGCGGGUGCCCUCCUCCCGCCCGACCCUCGGCACCGCGUGGGGGAGGCGCAGGAGCGGGCGGCUGCAGACCUGCGCGCGCUUAGCCCGCAGUCUGCGCCGCGUGGAAUACGCCCUUGAAGAAGUGCUUCGAGUGUUUACAUCUACGUGGCUUUUGUGACUUUCAAAGUCGAUUACAAAUGAGGACUCACCCGGUACAAUCGCAUCUCCCAAAUAACAGUGAGGGCUACUGGUGAGAGGGGGAGUUCUUGGGUUCGGAUCCAGGCAGGCUCCAGAUCCUGCAGAAACUAAGAAGGCUAAACACAAAAGCCCUUACUUUUUUUUUUUUUUUUUAAUUAUGUGCCUUCAUGAAAUAGUUUGAAACAACAGUGUUGGUUAAUUUUUAUAAGUCCUGGAAGUUUGCCUUUAAAUGUCCUCUAUACUUUAUAAAAGUCUUUAUGUUAAAUGGGAUGAAGCCCUACAUUAAAAAAAAUGAUUUAAGAUUGUAAUUUUUUGAAAGGAUGAUCUAUAUAUUUAACAUGGUUGUAAAAAUGGGACUUAAAAAUUCUACCAGUUAAUUCUAUGGGUCAGGAGAUCCCUACUUACAGAAAGAUCAUAGCAUUUUUGUUUGUUAGGUAUACAAGUUAUGAUUAUUGAUGAGUAAUAUAAGCAGGAAUAAUCAAUGACAAAUACCAUCAUAGAACUAUAGAGAGGUAUAUUUAAACUUGAUCCUUCAUUUUUAACCACGCUUUAAAAAAUACUUUUAGGAGUGCUGCUUUAAGUGUGUGUGUAUAUCUCUGUGUGUGUUUCUGUGUGUGGGUGUGUAUGAUUGUGUGUGCGUUGAGGGCACCACCCUUAUGAUCAUUGCACUUUGGUUUUGUAUUCUUUUUAGAUCUUGUUGCCCUUUGGAUGGGAACAGCUGUUGCCUAGCGAUCUGUCCAAUCAGAGAGGAGAGAUGGGGGAUUCUUAUCUGGGCACUUGAAGAAAAUGUGGCCUGGUCUCAUCCACUUUGUGACGAUUUGCAGUAGGUGGGCCUGCCUACACAGUCAGAAACUCUAACUAGCAGAGGGCGCUGGUAGGGGCGACUUCUCUUCAGCAUCAUGCCAGAGUAAUUUCUUCUGAGAAAGUAUUUCUCUUUGAUUUGGGCUUUUGAUACAAAAUUAAGUUUCCAAAUAGUCCCUGAAUAUGUAUUUGCUAUGCCCAUUGGAAGGUAACAAGUCCGUCUUGGGUUUGUUUUUUCCCUUGGAGCUGUUCUGGUGUAGGACGCCAAGGUUCAAGUUCAGGUGUCAAGCCCUCCUGAGGCAGUAGGCAUUUCCUCCAUGAGCUACAGCCUCAGUCAAUGGUUAGGGGGCAGACAGGGUGGGGUGAAGUGUUAUCACCUCCAUGGGGGCGUCUCAUGCAUCUAGAUCCCAAAUCUGCAGCAAAACUGCAAGCUCAUUGUCAUUCUGAAAUCCUAGGACCUCUAACUACAAGUGUGGGAACACAGUUUCCAUUCGCAUUAGGAAGUCAGUCCAUGAAACCAGCAGAAAGGAACUCCGUAGUUAGAAGUACCCCAUCCUCUUCCUCAGCAAAGGAACUGGUUCUCUUUCCCCCUGUCGAUUGCCAAAUACGCUAUUUAUUUAUUUAAAGCUUGUUUCUCACCUUGUGAUUUUCCAGCUGUUCUCCCAGACUUUUCCAGCAAGUCAGCCAUUAACAUCUGCCAACCUGCUCUCCACACAGGGCUGGGUGCUUCUUGUGUGGCCUGUUGCCAACAAGAGCCUGGAUGAAAUUUUUUCUCAUGGUCCAAGAUCUUUCUCUUUCCUUUCAUGGGUAAUAAAAUCGUCAUCUCUUUCAGCAAGGAGUGUUUUGUGUUUGUUGGUUUUAACACAGAAUCUACACAAGGAUGCUUUUACUAAAACAGAAAGUUCUUUCUGGAAUAAUUUAAUUACCUCUCGUGAUGUUGUCAAUUUCAUAAAAAUGCAUCACAAAGUUAUAAUAUAAAAAACAGUCCUACAAAUAAUAGCAAUGAUAAGAGGAACCACCAUCAAGUCUCUUCUCUGUUUCUGUAAGACUCGUACAUUCUGGUGCUUGAGAACCCUUUUUUUUCUCUCUUAACCCUGUAGCUGUUUGAAAAUAUUUUCUAUCUGAAUGAACUCUUACCUACAGACCCACUAAGCAGAUCUUCAAGUGGAAUAUUAUAUGACCAGCCAGAACAGCUUGAAUUUAAAAUGCAUUUUAGGAGUGCACAGUUGAACGUCAGAGGUUUAUGGCCGCAGCCUUUAGAAAGAUUUCACUGUAUUAAGUAAUGUAUUUCAAUUGCUCAUUUAAUAAAGUUCCCUGUGUGUAAUGAAGGAAUGCUGCAGACAAGCUUUUCCUCAUUUAGGAUUCCUACAGCAGCUUCCUGAACUUGAGCAGCUAGUUUUUUCUCACAAAUAGAUUUGCUAAUAUGUUUCAACUGAAAUUUCACAAGGAUUUUGUAACAUGUCAGCUCUGUGCAACAGAAUGAUUUACAUGAAAGAAUGUAACUGCUGUUUGGGUCAUUUACUGUCCAUGGAUGGCUUUGAGAGUGCUCAAAAAAAAAAAAAAUUGGAUUUGUUCAUAUAUUGUAUUAGUUUUUUGAAAAGUUGUAAAGUAUCUAUUUUGCUCAUUAAAACUACUGAUGUAUUUUAAAUAGCCCUUUUCUUAAAUGCUCAUUUGAGGAAGAGGGAUCUUCUAAAACAAAUUUCUUAUGAGCAUAUAUGCCAGAGCAAACGGCUAUAACACGUAAAAUAAGAAUUAUUCUGAACAGUGUGUGAAUUGAAUUAAUUCAGUUUAGAAAAAUUCUCAUUUCUGAAGUAGGCAGCAGUACAGCUAUUCCAAUAUUCAAAAUAUUUUCAUUUUAAAUAGAAUUAUGUUGAAGAAAUAUUUUCACAGAAACAACUAAUUGCAUAGUGACUGUAGUUAGUAACCCAAAAUUCUUAGUUGCCCCUGAAUUCUGUUGUAUUUGAAUUUUGAGAGCAUAUUUCUACAUUAAAACAACAGCAACAACUUCUUCCCCUAAAGACAUUCUACAAUGAAGUAAAAAUGUCACAUUCCCAACCGUGUAAUAUUACUGAAUCAUUUAAAAAAAAAUAGCGUUUCUUCUGAAAACAGCCCUUUUCCUUGGAAUUCUUGGCCUUGAAAUAUAAUAUCCUCACGUUUUGCAUGACUGAAUUGAUGCCUUGUGUGGGGCUCGCUCUUAAUGUUCUAGCUGUGCCUAAAACGUUGUUUGCUGUGUUUGUUUUUUCAAGUCGGAGCAGAACAAAAGUGUCUGCUUCUCAAUACGCCGUUCAGGAGCAGAUGACAUUAAAAAAAAAAAAAAAAAAGCCUCUAAAAUGACACAGCUCUAUUUUCUGGGAGGGGAGGGGGGAUGAGCCGUGAGGCCAGCUGGGAGUGUCCUUGAACAAAUGUUACGAAGGGGAAAGAUCAGCCACAGUUCAUUGAUCCCACUGUUUGUUCUCGGAGCAAGCUUGCACCCUGUUUUUGCAAACUGCUCAAGAGGUAAAUAGGACUCGAGCGCCCCCCCCCCCCCCGCCCCAGCUUUUUGCCAGAUGCUGUGGCGUUUUGUGGAACCGGACAGCAGAGACCUUGCACUUUUCUGCCGUGGUCACGGGCUGUUUCUAGGCUUGCCUUUCAGUCUGUUUUCUAGAGUUGUUUUGAAAUCCAACCUAAAGAUAAGAGAGGAAAUAUGACCCACCCUUGUGAAUGCUGCCACCAACUGGCAAUGCUUCUUCCCAAGGCAGGGCCGGCUCCUGUGCCAGUUGUCACAACCAGGGUGGUGCCUGCUCUUGUAGGAAGCUGGUCCCAACCUCCCCUACCUUUGCUCUGCCCACAGUUUUAAAUACGUCGCUAGAAACGAUCUGAGAUGAAACAAAGAAAUAGCAACAGGGAGUGACUAGGGGCAACGUCAGACGACAAAUGAGGAAUGACUCUCCUCAUAAAUUUAAGAUUUUGGGGGGUGAUUAUCAAAUUAAUAUGUUCUCAUUUUCUGCUACACUUUAUGUCUCAAUUUGUGUCUUUAUUUACCAAGAACAGCCAUUGUAUAAAAAUAUAUAUCCAUUUCCAUUUAAGAUUUUAGAAAAGGACCUAGCCAACACAUUAAAAAUAAGAAUCAGAGCAGGGUUAUUUUGGAAAUUAUCCCAGAGCAAACCUAAGGGUGACAAUUGAAAUCUCCUUUCCUUACAAGCAAAUUUUUGGUUGGAUUUCUCCACUAACAAGACCUAUCAGUCCCAAAUGUUCUUAGAAUAAGCCCAAGUCAUCUUGAGAGAUAGUGAAAAGUAAAACUUGAAAAAGCAUAGAGGAAAGAAAAUAUAUUUUCACAAUGAUAAAUAACAUUGUUAAAGCUCCAAAUAACAAAUAACAGGUGUCAAAUGUCGCUAUCUCGUGGAUUAAAAUAAUUUGAAUGUAUGAGCUCAUGGCUCGUUUAUCAGCGCUAAAUGUGUAAAUGACAUCAUUUCCGUAAUUGUUUUAACCUCGAAUUUUAGGAUGCCCAUGUUGGAGAUAUUAAAGUUAGUAGUGGUAUCUGAGCUAAGUUAUCUAAACAGGGUAAAGGCAUCAGAAGACAUUAUUUGCUGCCAACCAUGUUCUUCAAGUACUUUUGCUGUGGAUGAAAGAGAAAAAAAAAAAAAAAAGCAGGACCUAGACUAGCAAUAAUAAUGCUAAUACUACAAUAACAAGAACAGCUAGUGAGAGCUGUUUAUCAGUAUAUUUACUUGUUAAUGGCAUCUGACUCUCAUCAAUCUAUGGGGUAAAUAGAAAAAAAUGUCCCAUGAUGCCAAAAUUACAAAUACAUACUUCUGACACACGUGAGAGUCCAGUUAGCUCUGGUAAUGCCCCUUCUGGGUAAUCUUUGGUAACCUGUCCUAUGAGCCCACACACAGUGUGUAAGGAUGACGCGCUCUUUAUAUGUGUGUGCGAUACUUUUUGCAUCACUUAGAACACACAUGAUGUCAACUAGACUGAAGUAACGUGAGGAAAGAGGGAUUCAUGAGGUUCACAAGAAAAUAAACCGAGUGACAACACGUGAAAUUAAAGUAGAUGCCCCUUAGCGCCAUUUCCCGCUGGCUGUUGAAUGUCCAGUGCAGAUUUCAGUUCAGAAAAACACCUUCUGAGAAUCACCGGAAGGCGCACACCAGCCUGCACUUCGUGUUUUCUAGUUCUUCAUUAAACGUCAGCCUCUGAGCUUGCUGAAAGAGGGAAAAAUUAGAGGUACAUAUUGAAAAAUGUUUGAAAUUUUACUUUACCCCAAGGAUGUCUUUUUAGGGAGUCAGUAGUGAGAAUUUCUAAUCCAUAUUUGCACUGCUAUUAAACGGCCCAGAGGAAAUGAAAUAUAUUGACAUUUGGAGAUGGCAUGAUUCUGCUUUUAUUUUGACAACUGUGUCCCUGAUUUUAAAACUUCUACACACACUACACGGGCACUCCACUUUCAAAAUGGCAACCACGUCCCUCACAAUAUAAAAAGGAAGUUAAUAUGCAGGCUAUCAUUAGGCAUGGUUACUGAAAGUCACAUUAUUUUUCAGUUAUAGAAUAAUAGAAAAGGAGGAUUAUCCCUUAUUUUUCAGAUGAAUUUAUAUCUUCCUCCAUUCAAAAUAUAAAAAGCACCAAACAUCAAAUUACUCAGCCUACGUUAAGUAUCUGUUUAAGCAUCAAGCAUUUUAGGAAUUAUCUAGAACAUAGGUUUUUGCCCCUUUGGUUUCCUGUCUAAAGAACUAUGUUCCAUCAGAGAUUUAUGUUUGAGAAAUAUCUUUUCCCUUGUAUCUUUUGUUGCAAUAUGCACACAUACAAUUCAGAAACAAAAUUGUUACGUGUCAUUACAACUAUCCUUUGGCGUUUUUCCUACUGCUGUAUUUUAAUUCCUCGUGUUGGCAUUUUAGCCUCUUCUUCUUAACGAUAUGUGGUAGAGACAGUGGUUUUCACCUUAUUCCCAGGAAGUUUCACGAAGCAUCUCACAUCGGGUAACACUCGGGAAAAUUCCAGGAAAAGGCACUAUGCAGAUAGAGUAAGAAAACCAGAGCUGAGCUUCAUCUUGGUUGCAGGGAGCUGCUUCACGAUUCAAAAUGUGUUUGCGCUUCCAAGAAAGAAAGAGAAUACACGGGAACACGUAAACGGUAAAUUGGGCAACAUGAACGUUCGUCUUGUUUUAAAUGACAUUUUAUUUUAUUUUCUUGAUGUUAGGCGUACGCAGUUCACGCUGACAGCCAUUUGCAGGUGAUCCUGAGCUGUGGAUGGCUUCCCACCUUCUCUCACAAGAACGUCUGUCCUGUCCUCGUUCCAUGUUCAGUGAGAGUUAACAACACCUUUUGAAAUAAGAGGGAAGCCCCCGUCCUUCAUUUCCAAAGGGGAUGUUUGCGUCCCUAGCUAAGGUCAGAGGGAAGGACCCCAUUCUGUCUUCCCCGUUUGCUUCGGAUGCAGGUCCCAGCUGCGGCUGGGUUGCAGUGUCAAACGGAACAUGAUGAAAACAUCUCAGCGAUGAUAACAAAGCGCCCAUCUCGCAAACAAGGCGCGUCCAUUUAAAAGAGAUGCGGGGUGCCUCACCCCUGUGCUUGCCUCUCAUGUUAUCAGCUAAACACUCCGAGGGGAAUGAAAAUAGUAAAAAAAAAAAAAAAAAA